UACGUAGGUGGCAAGCGUUGUCCGGAUUUACUGGGCGUAAAGAGCGCGCAGGCGGUCGUUCAAGUCGCGUGUGAAAGCCCCCGGCUCAACUGGGGAGGGUCACGCGAUACUGAUCGACUCGAAGGCAGGAGAGGGUAGUGGAAUUCCCGGUGUAGUGGUGAAAUGCGUAGAUAUCGGGAGGAACACCAGUAGCGAAGGCGACUACCUGGCCUGUUCUUGACGCUGAGGCGCGAAAGCUAGGGGAGCAAACGGG
rnacentral:rRNA from 1 species